rnacentral:rRNA from 1 species
GGCGAACGGGUGAGUAACACGUGGGUGAUCUGCCCCUUACUUUGGGAUAAGCCUGGGAAACUGGGUCUAAUACUGGAUAGGACCAUGCUGUAGGUGGUGUGGUGGAAAGAUUAGUUUCGGUAAGGGAUGAGCUCGCGGCCUAUCAGCUUGUUGGUGGGGUAAUGGCCUACCAAGGCGUCGACGAGUAGCCGGCCUGAGAGGGUGGACGGCCACAUUGGGACUGAGAUACGGCCCAG